UGGGUUCACGCCAUUCUCCUGACUCAGCCUCCCAAGUAGCUGGGAUUACAGGUGUGUGCCACCACGCCUGGCUAAAUUUUUGUAUUUUCAGUAGAGACAGGGUUUCACUGUGUUAGCCAGGAUGGUCUCGAUCUCCUGACAUCAUGAUCCACCCACCUCGGCCUCCCAAAGUGCUGGGAUUACAGGCGCGAGCCACUGCACCCAGCCUUUUUUUUUUUUUUUUAAACAAAUGUCCUUUUUCUGUUCCUGGAUUCCAUAAGACAUUGAACUAUUUGUCUCAUAAUUAGUAAAAAGACCCAUGCAGAUUAAAAAUGGAUUAUUUCUGUGGUAAUCGGGUGGGUUCUGAUGCCCAUGCAGCACCUUGAACACGGCUGGAGUUGAUGAGUAUCCCUGAUGGGAAGUCGAUGCUGCGUCCAUGGAGAGAAGGGGCACGGGGUUGAGUGUCCACCCAGCACCUAAUGGAGAUACAGACCCUCUCCCUGCCACUGGCGCUCCCUGUCAGGUGGGACAGACACCAGCAAGCUAGCAAGGAAACCAUCAUUCUGGGUUGUGGUGGAACUGGGGAGAAGCAGGCAUGGAUCACGUCUAGGGCAUCUUGGGGCAGGGGCGGCCUCCUGGGCACAGGUGGCCCUUUCCUGCCUGGGCCUAAAAGCUAAGAAGAGGAUGCCAGGCAAAGUCUGGGAGGGUGGCAGAGGGAACAGCACAUGCAAAGGCCCUGUGGCAGGGUGAGCUUGGUGUGCGUCUGAGGACAAAUGGGAAGGCCAGAAGGUUGAUGUCUUGGCCUUGUGUCCUCAUCUUGGGUGGUCAACUCUGGGGAAUGUUGUAUUCAGUUCCUCAGAGGGUGCCUGAUGAGUGUGGGACUCAGGGUGCCCCGGGGGUACCCAGCUCCCACCCUGCUCCCUGAACCAACUCUCUGCACUAAAGCCUUGCUUCAGGCUCUGCCUUUGGGGGAACCCACACAGAUGGGCCAGGAGGGUUGAGUAACCUGCCCCAGCUGCCAGUGCUAAAGCCACCCACCUGGACAAUGUCAGUGGAGGAAGUGAAGAGAGUGGGUGAGAGGCCCCAACACUGAACCCCAGGCUCCCAGGAGAAGGAGGAGGUGGCUUAAAGGAGAACUGGAAAAAUGCAUCCAGAAAGAUGGGAAGGGGCCAGGCGCGGUGGCUCACACCUGUAAUCCCAGCACUUUGGGAGGCUGAGGUGGGUGGAUUACCUGAGGUUGAGAGGUCGAGACCAGCCUGACCAACAUGGAGAAAUCCGGUCUCUACUAAAAACACAAAAUUAGCUGG
rnacentral:lncRNA from 10 species